rnacentral:rRNA from 1 species
GACGAACGCUGGCGGCGUGCUUAACACAUGCAAGUCGAACGGAAAGGCCCUGCUUUUGUGGGGUGCUCGAGUGGCGAACGGGUGAGUAACACGUGAGUAACCUGCCCUUGACUUUGGGAUAACUUCAGGAAACUGGGGCUAAUACCGGAUAGGAGCUCCUGCUGCAUGGUGGGGGUUGGAAAGUUUCGGCGGUUGGGGCUGGACUCGCGGGUUAUCAGCUUGUUGGUGGGGUAGUGGCUUACCAAGGCUUUGACGGGUAGCCGGCCUGGGAGGGUGACCGGCCACAUUGGGACUGAGAGACGGCCCAGACUCCUACGGGGGACAGCGGUGGGGAGUAUUGCACAAUGGGCGGAAGCCUGAUACAGAAGCGCCGCGUGCGGGAUGACGGCCUUCGGGUUGUAAACCGCUUUCGCCUGUGACGAAGCGUGAGUGACGGUAAUGGGUAAAGAAGCACCGGCUAACUACGUG